GCGCACCGAAACCAAACCCGGACGUGUUGCCACAGAAAAACCGGAUUGAAUAAUGGUGGACAGGUCCGAACUUUGCAAGUGGAGAAAGUGAGAGAUUGGUUUCUGGUUUCGGGCCUUUUCGGUCAAAACCAACACGCAACCAUUUCUUCUUCUUCUUCCUCCUCCGCCCCCAAUCGGCGGUGCGCCACCCUCCACCGCCCUCUAACCCUAAUCACCACCACCUUCUCGAUUCAUUCCUGAUUCCAGCUCAAAUUCCCCUACAUCAAUUCAUUACGGUUCUCCUCCUCACUCCCAAUUCCGUAAUUCGAUUGAUUUCUCUUCUUUUUCUGAUCUGAUCACGCUGAUUAUCAUGUGCUAGCUAGCUUCUUCCCUCGUUGAUUAUCAUUUAUCAUUAUCCACCUGCUGCUUAUUCUGUUUGUGCUGAAUUGUUGGAGGACAUGGAUUCAGGACCGAGUAUCAAGGGUAAUUAAUCUGCAAACACGUGUUCUGUGUUUGGCAUCACCUCCAAUAAACAGUUACUACCCUUUUGCCGGGUCUCUCUGGCGCAGCAACGCCGCUUCUGGAAAAACCGCCGAGUCAGUGCUCACUCACUCACUCGUCGUUUCUCUCUUGAAUGUCGGCACCGCAUAAGUUUCUCUGCACAUUCUCACACCGCAUCCUCCUCCUCCCUCCUCUCUCAACUUCCACAACCUUCCUCUUCCUCCCCUCCUCCCACCGCUUCUUCUGCACCCUUCCUCCCUCAACAAUGCCUUGCAAUCAGCGAAGUGGUGGUCACGGUGGCCAGCAAUGGACGGAGAAACCGAAGGAUGAGGCGCCGUUAUCAUCGGCUAUGGGAGAUUCUGCAACUGCUGCUGAAACUGUUUCUAACAAGCUUGCUGGAAUGCAUAUUGGUGAAAACAGUGAGCAAACGGGGUUAGGGCAUGCUAAUAAGGGUGCAAUUUGGAAACAUAAAUCAUAUGGAACUACUGCUGCACCUGAAGUCGACAACAAACCGGCGGGUAAAGUCGCGGUUGAUGGUGCAAGGGUUGAUGCUGGUGGUGUGGCUUCUACUCAGAAGAGUGGUAUUAGUGGUGCUGGUUUGAGCAAGUUAUUUCAAGGUAAUCUGUUGGAAAAAUUCGAAGUGGACAACUCUACCUACUCACAAGCACAUAUCAGAGCAACUUUCUACCCCAAAUUUGAGAAUGAAAAGUCAGAUCAAGAGACCAGGACAAGGAUGAUUGAGAUGGUAUCAAAAGGUUUGGCUACCUUAGAGGUUUCACUUAAACAUUCUGGUUCUCUUUUUAUGUAUGCGGGCCAUGAGGGUGGAGCUUAUGCAAAAAACAGUUUUGGAAAUAUUUUAAGGAAUUUGGUCCAUAGGCUAGGGGCAUGAGAAUCAUCCACGAACACGAUUGGUCCCUCUAGUCUCUUGUUGAAGAUUUUGCUUAGCUCCUCCCUUGAUUCCUUUUCAAGGAUCACAGGCUCGAAUCCAGCAAGUAUUGACUGUGAAUUGUCUCCUCCAAUAUAGAAGGACUGCAUAGCCCAAAUGAAAUUGAAUAAUGUUAGACUUUGAUCAAAAGAUAACACAAUAUUCAAAAUGACAAUGCUGAUAAUGAGAUGAAGGAUGUGAAAUUAUGGACGCGUACCUGGAAGGUGUCAUCCAUGCUAGUAGAAGUGUCAAUGCUGCAGAUAAUGUGAAGUCUCUGACCUUCUCCUAAAUUCACCAAAUAGAAUGCAGAACCAGCAGGAAUUACAUACAAAUCCCCUGUCUUCAAUCGCCUUUCAGAUAGUUCAUCUCCAUACAUGAACCCCAACUUUGCUUCCCCUGUAAACAAUUUCCAACUUCACUCUCAAAUGACAUGUAAAAUUUGAUGCCCUUUCAAUCUAAUGGUGUUUAUACUAUCA